AUGCAAGUCGAGCGGGGGAAGGUAGCUUGCUACUGGACCUAGCGGCGGACGGGUGAGUAAUGCUUAGGAAUCUGCCUAUUAGUGGGGGACAACAUCUCGAAAGGGAUGCUAAUACCGCAUACGUCCUACGGGAGAAAGCAGGGGAUCUUCGGACCUUGCGCUAAUAGAUGAGCCUAAGUCGGAUUAGCUAGUUGGUGGGGUAAAGGCCUACCAAGGCGACGAUCUGUAGCGGGUCUGAGAGGAUGAUCCGCCACACUGGGACUGAGACACGGCCCAGACUCCUACGGGAGGCAGCAGUGGGGAAUAUUGGACAAUGGGGGGAACCCUGAUCCAGCCAUGCCGCGUGUGUG
rnacentral:rRNA from 1 species